rnacentral:lncRNA from 1 species
AGAAGAGCCUGCACCAUAGCAAUUGGAUGGUGUGUUUUCAACACAUUUCUACUUCAUGGUAGUAAACACAUGGCUUUUCACUAAAUCCUACAGUUUGGAUGUAAAGUAACUAAAAUACACUCCAAGGUUGGCUGCUCUAAGAUUUUGUUAAGCCAAAGAGAAACUCUUGUUUAGUUUUGUGAAAGACAAGACUGGUUGCAUAUCAGGAUUUUUUUCAUUUAGAAUGCAGGUUGUCAAAUGUUUUAAACUCAGGGGAGGGGAAUGGCAACACAGCAACAUUGGUUAUCAAACGGGAAAGGGGGCUUGGCUAGAAUGAUGCCAGGAAACAGCUUAUUAGGAAGAGAAACUCUCAAGGUCAUAAAAAGCACCAAAGUGCUCUCUGGCUUCGGGUGUCUUCUCACCCAGGUCAUAAUGAAACAGGCUCAAAUUAGCCUGAGUCAAGAAGCUCAUCUGAUGUGUGGAGAGACGCCCUACACAAAUGUCUGCUGCACUGCAGGCUAGUCACACAGCCGAUCUCACCUGGAAUGGCUCCAGUGUCCUCAGGCGCUAGGAUCCUGCCGCGGAGUGGGAGAAGGCCUGAGUGGCCCAGUAUCCUUCAUGCAGGGUGGAUCCUCACCUCAGAAGCUGUAGAGAAACUUCUCAGAGCUC